rnacentral:sRNA from 1 species
AGUUGCAAUCGUAUGUAACAAUUUAGCAAAUAUUUCUGGCGUACAUAUAAUAUGUGCAUGAGACUUAUUCAACGUAUAAGUGAUAUCAGUGUGAUUUUGGAACAUAUUCAUAAUAUCGAUGACUUUGUCUUUAAUGAAAGCAUCUUGCAAGCCAUCAAUAUUGAUAUCGAAACGCUUUGCAGAUUGAUAUAAAUUAUCAGAAUCAAGUAAUUCAUUUAUUUUCUUUGGUGAAAGUACUUGGAAAAUACUAUACUGAUGAAAACUUAAAAAUGAAAUGAAGUAUGGAAGUUGUUGCUUUGGUAAGCUAAUUUCUAAUACAUAUUGAUUAAACUGUUUGUUUAUUGAGAAUUGCAACGCAUCACAAAAUUGUACACUUUUGCAUAACUUACUUAAUUUUUUUCUAGUAGUACGGUCAUUUAAACCGGCGAUGUUGAUGAUGUAUGUUUCGAAUUUAUCAAUUAACAUGUGAGGACCUCCCGAGGAAUACAUGGCAUUAAAUACACGUUUAAUAUUUAUAAAGGUGACUUAAUUUUGUUCAAGUUGAUUUUACCACGCUUUUUUUCUUUAUUCACUAAGACUUUUGAAUGAAGUUUAAAAUAAUUGUUUAUCAGUGAUAAAAUAUUUGCAAUAAGAAGAGAACGACUAAAUAAUCUUAAUUUUCAGAAAAGUAAUUGUAACCUUACUGGUCUUAUGGUAAUAUUUUUCAAUAUUAUCGACGAGGAUGUGUUAACAAUGUUUCAAAAAUUGAGUAUAUUUGCCACGAAGAGUUUUUUGGUAUGGAUGUUAGUAGCAGCUGUUAUUGGAUUUAUUUUCCCACAACAUGUUGCGACAUUAGGUAAAUGGGUACCUUAUUUACUUGGUAUUGUUAUGUUAGGUAUGGGAUUAACAAUUACACCUAAUGAUUUCAAAAUGGUCUUUAAAGCACCUAGAGCAGUAAUUAUUGGUGUCUGUCUACAAUUCAGUAUUAUGCCCACAUUAGCAUUUAUAAUUGCAAAGUCUUUUCAUUUACCACCUGAUAUUGCUGUUGGCGUAAUAUUAGUUGGAUGUUGUCCGGGUGGGACAUCAAGUAAUGUAAUGAGUUAUUUAGCCAAAGCUAACGUAGCACUUUCUGUUUCUAUUACGACGGUCUCUACGUUGCUAGCGCCAUUCGUUACACCUGCGUUAAUAUAUCUAUUUGCAAAUGAAUGGUUGGAAGUAUCUUUCCUGAGUAUGUUGUGGUCAGUUGUUCAAGUUGUAUUAAUUCCAAUUGCUUUAGGUAUUGUUUUGCAAAUUAUUAAUCGUAAAAUUGCUGAAAAAGCUUCUACAGCUUUGCCGAUUAUAUCAGUUGUUGCUAUUUCAUUAAUUUUAGCAAUAGUUGUAGGUGGCAGUAAGCACCAAAUCUUAACUACAGGAUUAUUAAUAUUUUUAGUAGUUAUUUUACAUAACGUAUUAGGAUAUACGAUUGGAUAUUGGUUAGCUCGUCUUUUAAAAUUAGAUCGACAAGAUCAAAAAGCAGUCAGUAUUGAAGUUGGAAUGCAGAACUCUGGUUUAGCUGUGUCAUUAGCAGCAUUGCAUUUUAAUCCAAUUGCAGCAGUACCAGGCGCAGUGUUUAGUUUCAUUCAUAAUAUAACAGGGCCUAUUUUAGCAAAGUAUUGGUCAAAAAAGUUAUAAUUGCACUAAUAGAAUGAAGUGGUCAUCGGACUGUGUUAAGCUUUGAUAAAGAGAAAAAAUAGAGGAGUAAAUAUAUGUAUAGAGCAGUUAUAUUUGAUUUCGAUGGAACAAUAAUAGAUACGGAACAACAUUUAUUUAAUGUUAUUAAUAAACAUUUAGAGAUGCAUAAUGCCGAUCCUAUAAGCAUUGAUUUUUAUCGUUCUUCUAUUGGAGGAGCAGCUACAGAUUUGCAUGACCAUUUAAUUAAAGCGAUUGGUUCGGAAAAUAAAGAUAAACUUUAUGAAGAACAUCAUCUUACUAGUACAACAUUACCGAUGAUUGAUACGAUUAAAUCAUUGAUGGCAUUUUUAAAGCAACGUCACAUUCCUAUGGCGAUUGCCACAAGUAGUGUGAAAGCGGAAAUAAUGCCUACCUUUAAAGCAUUAGGUCUAGAUGAUUAUAUAGAGGUAGUUGUUGGUAGAGAAGAUGUUGAACAAGUUAAACCUGAUCCUGAAUUAUAUUUAUCUGCAGUACAACAAUUAAAUUAUAUGCCGACACAAUGUUUGGCUAUUGAAGAUUCUGUAAAUGGUGCAACAGCCGCGAUUGCAGCUGGAUUAGAUGUUAUUGUUAAUACGAAUAAAAUGACAAGCGCACAGGACUUUUCUAAUGUAGAUUAUGUAGCAAAAGAUAUUGAUUACGAUCAAAUUGUAGCGCGUUUCUUUACGAAAUAGGAGGCGUAUCAUGAUGGGUUACAUUAUAUUGUUUUUUCUAGCUGGUCCAGUAAUUUUAGGCGUUGGAAAUUUGGUGAUUGGUCCUAUAUUUAACAAACAGACACCAUUUCGCGUG